AAAGAAAAGCGCCAGGACAAUAUAAUAUAUUGUUGACGAGGAUUAGAACUUAUCGAAAUAUUCGGCGGAUGGUUCUAUGGCAUAAGGUUGUCAUUAAAUAUUAUACAAAUACUAAUAGCAAUAUUAGAACAAAAGUGAUAUUA
rnacentral:ncRNA from 1 species